AGUGAACGCUGGCGGUAUGCCUAACACAUGCAAGUCGAACGGCAGCACAGUAAGAGCUUGCUCUUACGGUUGGCGAGUGGCGGACGGGUGAGGCAUACAUCGGAAUCUACUUUUUCGUGGGUGAUAACGUAGGGAAACUUACGCUAAUACCGCAUACGACGUACGGGUUAAAGCAGGAGAUCUUCGCAGCUUUCGCGAUUGUAUGAGCCGAUUUCGGAUUAGCUAGUUGGCGGGGUAAAGUCCCACCAAGGCGACGAUCCGUAGCUGCUCAGAGAGGAUGAUCAGCCACACUGGACCUGAGCAAGGGUCAAGCUUCCUCGGGGAGGCAGCAGUGGGGAAUAUUGGCCAAUGGGCGCAAGCCUGAUCCAGCCAUACCGGGUGGGUGAAGAAGGCCUUCGGGUUGUAAAGCCCUUUUGUUGGGAAAGAAAGAAGCAGGUUAAUCCCCCGCUGUUCUGACGGUACCCAAAGAAUAAGCCACGGCUAACUUCGUG
rnacentral:rRNA from 1 species